rnacentral:lncRNA from 1 species
UCAGGCAUUCCACCUCGUAAUGUAAUUUCACCUACCUUGGUUGUUUAUUUUAUCACCUUUACAAAAAUGCAUUUUAAAUUUACUUAAGUAACAAAUUACUAACUCUGUUCUAUCUUCUCGUUGAGUACUACCUCGCUACAUAAGACCUGAGGAGGCCAGCCAGUGGUGACAGAGGAUGAUGCCAUGACGACUGAGACGUUCCAUGCCGAGCUGGGGAUCCAAGAUGCCAUUUACCAACAUUACCAUUAUUAUCAAGUCACAAUGCCCAGGAGGGGUGGGCAGCCACUGGCACUUGGACUCCCAGAGGUUUUUUCUCCUUCAACCUUCAGUUGGGAGUUUUUGUUCCUUUCCCCGAUGGCCAUUGGUGGUGGACCAAAGAAGGUCUCUUCGCAUGGAUCGUUUCCUUGUGAGCUCCACAUGUAGAUCAUGCAGCAAUCUGCAGUACAGUCGAGGCUGGAAGAACAUGUGAACGGCCAGAUGUCACAGCCCAGCCCGCUCCUCCAUCGGAUGGGUGAAGAGAAGCCGCUGUGCUCCAGCAUGCCGGAAUGUUCCUGAACAAGGAGGUAGGGGCCCUACUGGAGACGCCUUCACACCACAGCCGUCUUCCCACCCAGGACACACGUUCGUAUCUGUGUGUGUGUGUGUGUGUGUGUGUGUACAAGGGUGUCGAAAUACCAUUCCUGUUCACUCAUACCCCAUGUGAGGUCCCUGCAGAGUUUCCUCAGGAAUGCUGAAUAUUUGGGCUCCGCCGGCGAGCAGACAGCAGUGGGACAGUGGGGUGCCGAGGGGCCCUAUGAGGAGGCUGCAUGGUAAAACGUGGGGCGUCACAUGGGAACUCAGCAGGUCUCACAUACAGUCCUACAUGUGUAUCGCAUGUACAGUUCUGACGGGACGUUAACGCUGUGGAUAACAAUAUGUAAGCGUGUGAAGGGACUUUCACUGGAAACGUGUGCACUGCUGGACAGCUAUAUAUGAUAAAGACUGAAUACACACAAGAACAUCAUUGUCAUUGGGGGCUUUUCCAGGCAAAAGGACUUUUGUAUGCUGUAAUGUACAUGAGAACAGUCCCAGUGUUUACUUCCUUGCUAUUGACUCUCCUAACCCUGCCAGUGUGGUGCGCCAGGGUAUUUCACCCUACUAGACAACCACUCAGUGCCAGAAAACAAAACUUCUCUAUAUCUCAUACAAAGCUGCGAUGUGACAGAUGACUAACGGGAGUUAAAAUUUCCGUCUGCACCACACCUCACUCCGUUAAAAUGUCACGUGAUGGGCGUUGAGAAAACGGGCCCUGCAUAGGAGUCACACAUCAGGCCCAGUGGUCUACUUUCAUGUUCCGUGCCGGCAAUGCACAGAGAGCAGAAGUGAGAGAAAGUGGGCUGCACGUCUGAUUCAUCUGUUGAACAUUAGGUGAAGUCCCGUGGCAGGUAGUAUCCACCACGCAGGGUAGUUUCUCGGAAUCGUGCCGAUCG